CCCUUAGAUGUUCUGGGCCGCACGCGCGCUACACUGAUGCACUCAACGAGUCUCCACCUUGACCGGAAGGUCCGGGAAACCUGAGAACUUGCAUCGUGAUGGGGAUAGAUUAUUGCAACUAUUAAUCUUCAACGAGGAAUACCUAGUAAGCGCAUGUCAUCAGCGUGCGUUGAUUACGUCCCUGCCCUUUGUACACACCGCCCGUCGCUCCUACCGAUUGAAUGAUCCGGUGAGGCCCCCGGAAUGGGAUCACUGCUCGGUUCGCCGAAAUGAGAUCCUGUGAAGCUGUCCAAACCUUAUCAUUUAGAGGAAGGAGAAGUCGUANCA
rnacentral:rRNA from 1 species